ACCCAGGCGGGGCGGUGCUUCCAGGGGGCGAGUAGGCCGCCACCGCCACCGCCACCGCCACCACUGCCAGAAUCGCCUCUCGGGGGUCGCCGGGUGUCUCCCACUCCCCCGGCCUCGGGACGGGGCCCGCAGUCCGCAGCCUCUCCCGUGGAAACCGGGCCUCCCGUCCCUGUGCGUCGCGAGCGGGCUCCGGACAGCGCCAGAUGCGAGCGCGCCGGGAAGGGCUGCGAAGACUCGCUCUUCGGGAGCUCGAAUGGCUUCUUAGGACCCCGCAGGGCGGGUUUCCAGGCCUGCCACGGCCUCCAGUGUGGGCGUGACGAGCGCUCCUCCCUGGAGUUCAGCCCUCGGCUUGGGACUGCCCGCUGGGUUGCUCGGAGGCCCCGGAGCAUCGGAAAGGGCGGCUGGAGGCUCCCGGAGCGGGCUCAGCCUGGGAGCCCAGCGACUACGCUCUGAAAUCCCGGGCUCCAUUCCAUAUUUUUUGGCGUUUUUAGAAGAUGGUCACGGCCCACUUUCGCUUUUCAGAGGACCGGAAAGCCUUAACAGGGAGUUUUGAGGAAUCACUAAGAGGCAUUGAAGCUUCCGGGAUUGGGAGUAAGCUGCCAUGGAAAGAAACUCAGGCUGGACUACUGCAUGAUGAGAGAUCACAUCAAAGAGAACAGUCCAGCCAGCCCAACUUGAGACACCAGACAUGUGAUGGAGCCAUCUUGGAUUCCUCACCCCAGCCAACACCAUGUGGAGCAGAGGCAAACCCUCUCCAUGGAGUUCUGCCUGAAUUGCAGACUUGUGAAUAAUAAUAAAUGGCCAUUUUAAGCCGUUAAGA
ensembl:lncRNA KDSR-DT KDSR divergent transcript